rnacentral:misc_RNA from 1 species
GCAAACUUGGUCAUUUAGAGGAAGUACAAGUCGUAACAAGGUUUCCGUAGGUGAACCUGCGGAAGGAUCAUUAACAAAUCGAUUUUGCGCAUGUGUCAUUACAUCUUAUGUAUAUGGUCGUGCACAAUACAUUUGUGCUCCAAGCAUUUGUCUUGGUUGCAUCAAAAAUAUUCAUGAUAUUAUUGUAUUAGUGUGUUUUUUGUAACAAGAAAUCUUUUAAAUACUUUUAACAAUGGAUCUCUUGGCUCUUGCAUCGAUGAAGAACGCAGC